GGUGUUCCACAAGGCAGCCGCAGCGGUCGUAACGCCCAGCCGGUGACAGGCGGCGAGGCGAACACCCGCACCAGGCCCGGCCGCGUGUCACGGCCUGCGGCGGCGGCGGCGACUUCCCGGCUCCCGCCCGCGCCCGACGCACGCACGCACGCGCACUGCGCCCAGCAUGAGGGUCGCCGCUCUGAUCAGUGGUGGGAAGGACAGCUGUUAUAAUAUGAUGCAGUGCAUUGCUGCUGGGCAUCAGAUCGUUGCUUUAGCAAAUCUAAGACCGGCUGAAAACCAAGAUGAACUGGAUAGCUACAUGUAUCAGACGGUGGGUCAUCAGGCCAUUGAUUUGUAUGCAGAGGCCAUGGCUCUUCCCCUUUAUCGCCGUACCAUAAGAGGAAGGAGUGUGGAUAUGGGACGAGUAUACACCAAAUGUGAAGGUGAUGAGGUUGAAGAUCUCUAUCAGCUUUUGAAACUUGUUAAGGAAAAAGAAGAAGUGGAGGGGAUAUCUGUAGGUGCUAUACUUUCUGACUAUCAGCGUGUUCGAGUAGAAAAUGUGUGUAAAAGGCUUAAUCUACAGCCAUUAGCUUACCUUUGGCAGAGAAAGCAGGAAGAUUUGCUCCGAGAGAUGAUAUCAUCUAAUAUUCAAGCAAUCAUCAUCAAAGUAGCAGCUUUGGGUUUAGAUCCAGAUAAGCAUCUUGGAAAACCCCUGGAUCAAAUGGAACCUUAUCUUUUAGAGCUUUCUAAGAAGUACGGAGUCCAUGUUUGUGGAGAAGGUGGAGAGUAUGAGACGUUCACUUUGGAUUGCCCUCUAUUUAAGAAGAAAAUAAUUGUGGAUGCAUCAGAAGUGGUCAUACAUUCAGCUGAUGCAUUUGCACCUGUUGCUUAUCUACGCUUUCUGGAAUUGCACUUGGAGGACAAGCAUUUGGAAUUCUGACAAGCUGCUUAUGGGUAGCCGCUCAUGUGAAAUGAACCGUAAUGAGGAUAAUGUCCUCUCUGGACAGAGGAAGAAGACCAAGGUGAAACUCCACCUCCCAUUGGAAAUCAUGGACUCACCUUCUACAAAACACUCCUAUUUAUUAGGGAAAUGGAAUUGAAAGAUACCAUUUUGGUCCAUCUAUCUGAAAAGCAUGAAAAAUGUCUCAGCUGCUAACUCGACAUAUGUGACCGCAUUCACCUUUGCCUGCCUGCAAGAGUAUGUGUAGAAACUAGGUUGCCAGAAGGAAUACAUUUCUCGGUGGAUGGCCUUGCCCACCAAAGUGACCUAAAGAUUGGUGACGGUCUCUCUCAUUUCAAAGAAAUCCUACAUGAUCAGAGCAUUUCUCAUUCGGCACCUGCUGGCAUUGGACCACAUAGUCAGUCUAGCAAGGUUUCCACUCUAAGACAUGUAAGCAUGGGAAUAAUCUGGUGGCAAGACCCCUGGAAGGUAUCAUCUCUACAGCAUCUGGCAAGAAAAUAAAGGGACAUUUUGUACAGUUAGGAAGCAAAGAAAAUCUUCCAUAAAUGGGUAUUUUAGAAAUCUUAAUUUCUGAAAAUUCAC